CUUUUUCGUCGCAUGACGGAAAGAAGAAAGGAUGGCCUCUAUACAAAGCUAUCGCCGAAGGAGGGGUUUUGCGUCUGAUUAGCUGGUUGGAGGGGUAACGGCCCAACAAGGCGAUGAUCAGUAGCCGGUCUGAGAGGAUGAACGGCCACAUUGGGACUGAGACACGGCCCAGACUCCUACGGGAGGCAGCAGUGGGGAAUCUUCCGCAAUGGACGAAAGUCUGACGGAGCAACGCCGCGUGAGUGAAGAAGGUCUUCGGAUUGUAAAGCUCUGUUAUACGGGACGAAAAAGACGGAUGCCAACAGUAUCCGUCCGUGACGGUACCGUAAGAGAAAGCCAUGGCUAACUACGUGCCAGCAGCCGCGGUAAAU
rnacentral:rRNA from 1 species